AAACCAACAGGGAUUGCCUCAGUAACGGCGAGCGAAGCGGCAAAAGCUCAAAUUUGAAAUCUGGCGCUUUCAGCGUCCGAGUUGUAAUUUGAAGAAGCAACUUUGGGGUUGGCCUUUGCACAUGUUCCUUGGAACAGGACAUCAUAGAGGGUGAGAAUCCCGUACAUGGUGAGGUGCCCAACCCUUUGUAAAGUGCUUUCCAAGAGUCGAGUUGUUUGGGAAUGCAGCUCUAAGUGGGUGGUAAAUUCCAUCUAAGGCUAAAUAUUGGCGAGAGACCGAUAGCGAACAAGUACAGUGAUGGAAAGAUGAAAAGAACUUUGAAAAGAGAGUGAAAUAGUACGUGAAAUUGUUGAAAGGGAAGGGCUUGAAAUCAGACUUGGCUUGUAGUGAUCAACUGUCUCUUGGGACUGUGCACUCGCUGCUUGCUAGGCCAACAUCGGUUUUGGCGGUAAGAUAAUGUCAGUUGAAUGUGGCUCAUUCGUGAGUGUUAUAGCUUCUGUCGAUAUUGCCAGCUGGGACCGAGGACUGCGCUUUAUGCUAGGAUGUUGGCGUAAUGAUUUUAAGCCAC
rnacentral:rRNA from 1 species